UACAAAUGAAUUGACGGGGACCCGCACAAGCAGCGGAGCGUGUGGUUUAAUUCGUUGCUACACGAAGAACCUUACCUGGGUUUGACAUAUAGGUUGUAGGGAACUGAAAGGGACCGACCCUUCGGGGAGCCUAUACAGGUGUUGCAUGGCUGUCGUCAGCUCGUGUCGUGAGAUGUUCGGUUAAGUCCGCUAACGAGCGCAACCCUCGUCGUAUGUUAUAUGUGUCAUACGAGACUGCCGGUAAAAGCCGGAGGAAGGUGAGGAUGAUGUCAAGUCAGCAUGACCUUUAUAUCCAGGGCUACACACACGCUACAAUGGUCUGUACAAUGGGUAGCCAAGCCGCGAGGCGGAGCCAAUCCUGAAAGCAGGCCUCAGUUCAGAUUGCAGUCUGCAACUCGACUGCAUGAAGCCGGAGUUGCUAGUAACCGCAGGUCAGCAAUACUGCGGUGAAUACGUUCCCGGGUCUU
rnacentral:rRNA from 1 species